rnacentral:rRNA from 1 species
UACGUAGGGUGCGAGCGUUGUCCGGAAUUAUUGGGCGUAAAGAGCUUGUAGGUGGUUUGUCGCGUCUGCUGUGAAAAUCCGAGGCUCAACCUCGGACUUGCAGUGGGUACGGGCAGACUAGAGUGUGGUAGGGGAGACUGGAAGUUCCUGGUGUAGCGGUGGAAGUGCGCAGAUAUCAGGAGGAACGACCGAUGGCGAAGGCAGGUCUCUGGGCCGAUUACUGACACUGGAGAAGCGAAAGCAUGGGGAGCCGAACAGG